AUUGAACGCUGGCGGCAUGCCUUACACAUGCAAGGUCGAACGGCAGCGCGGGGGCAACCCUGGUGGCGAGUGGCGAACGGGUGAGUAAUACAUCGGAACGUGUCCUGUUGUGGGGGAUAACCCAUCGAAAGGUGAGCUAAUACCGCAUGAUCUGGAGACAGCAAAGCAGGGGAUCGCAAGACCUUGCGCGAUUGGAGCGGCCGAUGUCC
rnacentral:rRNA from 1 species